UGUCAGUGGAUGGCUAUGUCAAAGCUGCAAUAUUUUAGUUAAAAGGAAAAAAAAUAAUCAAAUAAAGGGACUGUUGUCUUGUAUAUUUGAAAGGGAGCCCAGUUCUGGCACAGAAAUUUGUAGGAGGAUCUGGAACACCUUGAGAGAUUUCAAAGGAACUUGAAAGGGGAACUUAAAAAAAACAAACAAACAAACAAAAAAAACAACAAAAAACACACCUAAGUCUUUAAAGUUAAAUUGAGAAACUGCCUCUUUUCAGUUUAUUAAACAAUAGUAAAGAGGUAAAUUGUCCAUUGAGUUAUUUAUAAAACAAGAGUUGGAAAGGAGACCUUGCUGUUUAUACUGACAAAAGGCCUAGUCUGGUUUAACAGCUGGAGGCAGAAACUUGCUAUGGUCAGUGACAGUGCCAUUUCCUACCAGCAAGAUUGAACUGGUGCACUGAACUAUCUUGCUUGGGUGAGAAAGAUUGUCAUUGUUUGGAAUCCAUCUCCAAGAUACAUUUAAUUCAGUUUCUGGCAAAAAUCGUGUAAUCUGUGUAUGUAGGAGAUAAGACUAGAUCAGCCUAAUGCUACCCAUCAUAGCCUUCAGAAUCCAAACUUCUGUGAAAGUUGGAAAAGCACAGGGAAAUCAGCUGGAUAUAUCUGUGCAAUAUUGCAUGUGAUUUUUCUUGAUAUGUUUCACAUAUGUAUUCCAUGUCUGUCACCAAAUUUCUACUACUUUUUUUUUUUUUUUUUUUUUUAAAUUAAUCUAAAGAAAUCAGUCAAGCCCCCACCUGAGGAAGUCAGCAUAAGGGUUUUCAAUAUCACAGGUCACCAAUUCCUGAUGCUGAAUGCCAGCAGUGAUGUUCAGGGUGAUAAUUGCUAAUGACAGCAAAAUGUUCCCAUGUUUAGCACCAUUUCUUACUUAUUCUCUAGUGCAUUCAUGUCUUUCUCUUUUCAGAGGAAUUAAGAGGGCAUUUCAGUUUACAGGAGGCAGCAUAGCUGAUCUGUGUGGCUGUAUUUGCCAAAAACCCCAGACUUCUCAGAACACAAAAUGCCUGAAGUUUACCCCUCUCAUUUUGCUGUCCAAAAGGCUCUAGGUGUCCAAUGCCACCACUAAUCCUGCCUUUAUUUCUCACAGCUGAGGGCUGGAUCCAGUUUGUGGCUUCCGUAGGGAUAACAGCGAGGGGCUCCUCACUGCAGCUGGGAAGGGAACACACUUUUUUUUUGCCCAGCUUCUGUUUUUCAGCAUGCAGCCCGUGACCGGCUCUGUUGUAUUUGUGGAUGGGGAGCGCCACCUGCCGCAGGCAUAGCACUGGGCGAGGCGCUUUUGGGGCAGGCAGGAGCUACCCGUGAUAUUUUCAAUUAACCUCACCUCCAGACUUGUUUUCAACUGCUCAGCUAAAAGCUAAAGUUCAGUUAAAGCCCUCUGUAGGUGUCACUGAUGUCCACAGUGCCACAAAGGGAGAAGCAUGGAAGGGUUAAUUCAGUCUGUCUAGGGAAAGGAAGUCACUACGUGAAUCCUUUUCUACUUGGAAUUUUCAAACAAGAACAGACGGUAUUAUUUUUAUUUUAUUUUAUUUUAUUUUAUUGUAUUGUAUUUCCAGAAGCAGACUUCUAGUCAUGCCAUGUGCAACAGAUAGCCCCAGAGCAGAACUGGCAGGGUAGGCUCUACUGUGCAAGCUCAAUGAAGCUUUAAAAGGUCUUUUUUUUUUUUUUUUUCUUUUUUUUUUUUUUCCUGUAAGAAACAAGAAACUGCUUAGAUGUCUAUUAUACUGACAUUUGUUCAUAACUGCUUGAUGUAAAACAAGUACCAAAAUUUUAUGAAAUUUUGUAACCUAGGCCUUUAGACAAUCAUUUCAGCAGGUAGAGAGCAGCUAAUCACCACUAUUAAUCUGAAGAAAAUCUCAAUUGAGGAUAUUAAUUUCCUGUUUAAAAAGAUGAAUGGCAAAAAAAUGAUGUGUUAAAAAUGAUCCGUCUGGGAGCCAGGACCCUCUCAGCAGUAUGUGAUCUUGCAGACCAGUUUGGUCAAUGAGUGUCAGAGCCCAGAUGGCACCAAUGGGCCUUAAUGGUCCUGAGCAGCCUCACCUGUGGCCUCCUGUCCACACCCUGCCCCAGGGACUGGGAACCCUAUUUCAGCCCAACCCCAGACCUUCAGUACCUGCUUGAGCUGCUGGGGAAGGGAGAUGGGCUUUGUUUUAGUUGCAGCCAUGCUGCUGCCUGUGUUUUAACCCUGUUGCUCUGUGGACUGGUGGCGCAGGCUGAUAUCCAGGAGUAGCACUAGAUCUGUCUCAUCGUCCUGCCUGGCCACCCUGGGGUUGUGUCAGGCCCUAAGUAUUGUUUCUGGACCUGAUCCUAGCCUAUGGCCUGGAUUCCCAAUUUAACCAUGGAUCUGCCUUGUUCCCGUGGAUGUGUUUGGUGAUCUGGGCUCUUGCUUGAUUCUGACUGCCCCCCUGGCCUGCCUGGCUCCUGCCCUGGGAUGAGUCCUGGCUGGUGAGGUCCUGUCCUGCCACAUGGGUUAUUCCCUCAGAUCCUGGCUCCCUGUCCAUGAGAGCAGCUGGCCCUCACUGCAGGCUGGGAAUGAUCUAACAGCUGAUCUAAAAGAUGCUUGUUUGUAGCUGUUAGCAGCUGCCAAAUCUCAGGUUGAUGUGAUGUAGUUUCAAUAUGAAUGCUAAUACCUCUUCAUUCUUUUAUAGAAGUCAGCUUAGACAAUUGUGAAGAAGAAACUGAAUAUUUGAGGUGCAAUUUAACCACUGCUGUGAUGAGAAGUCACAGCUGUGAAAAACAAAGCUUGUUAGAUUGUCCCAGCAAUGUAUGUUAUGUGCAAGCCAGGAGCUUUGCAUAUCUCUGGAAAAAUGGCAUUUUUUUGUGCAAGUAAGGAAGUUAUAGUGAAUCAUCUGUUCCACACAGUGACUACAAAAGUCUUGGCUAUUGAAUGGGCUGCCUUGCCUCAGCUGUGAGCUGCGAGUCUAGUUUUUGAGAGUUUAGGAGGACAGCACCAUGCUCUUGUGGCUCAUGAAAACAGAAGCCCUGCUUUGUCUGUCGAAGUGCACGCUAGGGGCUCUGUUGCAAGCACCUGAAAAGUCAGCAUCUUAGUAGGACUGUUGCAGGCCAUAGUAUAUCCUGAAGCAUCCUCCCUCUGCAGCUCAGAGCUGGCCCCCAGUGAGACAGAUGCGUGACAGUGUACCUGCUGCUAGACACAUCCCAGGGUCCAGGUCAGAGGCCCAGUAAAACUGUCUUGGGAGCUCGACAGCAGUUUUUGCUCCAAGUCCUGGUAGCCACUGAAUUGUUAAGGGCCUGCUGGGAUGUGAGGUCUAAGUGGCUUUGUCCUGGACAUCUUGAUCUCCUACCCUGUCCUGUGCUUGUGACACAUGCUGACAGCUGUCCCCAGCACACCUCUGCACACCCUGCCCAGCUGUGUCUGAACGGAUGAAAUCUGUGCUUGUUCACAGCUGUGGGGGUUGCACUACCUUGGUUAGAGAGACUGCAGCUAAACAGCACCUUCCCCGUGCAUGAGAUCCUCUCUCAACUUUUAUUACCCUAAUUUUACCUCCUCCCCUGCAACAGAUGUGCCUGUGUGAGAUCAUCUGCGAGAUAAGAGAGAGCUGGAGCCCGGUAUGACCAGGAGGGAUGAUGUCCCGAUGUCCUGCUUUACUACAGCUCGCUGGAGAUGUUGGGGCUGGGGGUUGGCAGAAGGCUCCUACCUGUGUUGGCCCUCAGAGUCCUGGAUGUGCAGUGUCCUGCAACUGUUUUUGAAGUGCUGGCAGCGACACAGUCUUUUGAGCAUCGGUUCCUCACACAGAUGGUGCUCAGUACCUCAGGAGAAAUGGAUGUGAUGUGGCAGAAGAGAAAGGACCAGCUCCACCCCCAGCCCUGGAGACACAUGCUGAUGUUUCUCCUGUGUUGUGUGGAUGGUGAAAGGCCAACCAAAGUGCAUGUUGUCUUUUGUCAUGCAAUUGAACCAGCACAUGCAGGGAAAAGGGGAUUUCCAACACUUGGGCAGCUCUCCAAUCCCUGCCAGUGUUGAGGUGUGCUGGGGAGGGCUCCCAGAGGAAUUUGGGGCUCUUGUCCCGGCAGAGCCUGGGGUGCAGGGCACAGUGAGCCUAGAGCAGCUGUGCUGUGCAGGGUCUUGCUGAGGGUCUCGUGGGGAAGAGACCACGCUCGCUUUAGCUGUGAGAGAGCUUAAGCCAUGCCCUGCAUGCUGAGGACUGCAGCUACGAUGCACUGAAAGGAGAGGAGUGAUGCAGCUGGGAGACAAAUGUGACUGGCAACUGCUACCUGUCAGCUCCAGCAGCACAGCAGUGGGAUCUUCCCAAGAGACCUGGGUGGAAAGCAGCAGCUGAGGAGCGAGAUGGUCCCAAACAGCAGGUUAAAACUUUGCCAGGACUGAGAUAUGGGUUCUUCAACAGCAACAAGCACCUGUGUGUCCAAAAAUACCUCUUUCCUAGGUAAUGCAGAGACUGCAAAGAGGGACAAGUCUAGAGUCUGGUCUUCAAAAUAUCAACAUAUGAGGUGUGGAUGCCCCAGGCACUUUCACUCUACCCACAGUGCAGCCAGUCAAGCAAAGAGAAAGUUUAAUGCUCUGUGAAGAGGGGUUGUACCACCUAGUUACAAGAGAAGAAAUAACUUCAGAGGAAGCCAAGUUCUUCGGUCCUAGCACCAGGAGGAUAUCUUGUGCUGGAAUGGGGCUGUGCAAUCCAUACAGGUACAGCUGGGCCUUGUGCUUCAGCUAAGUAGGCAAAACAGCAAGGAUGCUCCUACAGGUUCAGAGCACUGCUCUAGCAGGCUGCCUCAACCGUGCCACACUCUGCUUCUGCUGCGUGUCCCUGGCAUUAGGAUUUAGAUUUGUUCACUCACUGGCUCAGGACACUUCUGUAUCCUCCAGCGCUCCUCAUCUGGGUUGGGGUUUUGCUCCUGGCUGAGGCUUAAAGCUCUUUUCCAUCUCUGCUGCGCUGACACAGCAUCAGUGUAGACAAAAAAACUCUUGUGAGAAGAAGGAAAAAAAAAGGCAAAAAGCAAAAUUGCAGCCAGAAGAAAGUAACUCUUCAGUGAGACUUCCCCAUGGCAGCUCCCUUGCCCAUACACAUUCAUUUUUUUUUCCUGCUUACAACACAAGCCUGAGAUUCAUCCAGGAUAGCAUCAUUUCAGUAACAUGUUAAGUCUUUAAAUAGGUGAUAUCCAUGGAUAUCCUAAGUACAGAGAGUGUCUUAGAGUCAGGUUUGGUCUUUUCUGCACUAUGCAACAUAUACCAAUACAGGACAAUCUUACAGAAAGCUUUGCAGUCUCAUUCUGGCAGUUCUCAGCCUGCAGCCAGUGUACAGCCUGCAAUAACUGAGCUGGACACAAGCAUCUGGGUUCAUGGCAAAACACAAGGAUAGCACCUGCUUCCUUUGCCUUGCUCACAGGUGAUGUACCCUAAGAAAUACAAGAGUCUAAGAAACAUUUAUACCUGCUGGCUGGCUGGCAGCUUAAGAAAUUCUUCAUAAAUUCCAAGGUGUCCAAAAGUUUCCUCUUCACGCUUCUUUCCACACCAAUACUUUUCUGUCAGAAAAGGAAAAGAGUGACCCUGCUCAAGCUUAAACACCUCUGACCCAUCCUGGGCACCCCUCUUAAUUCCUCCAGUGAUGCACCAUGUCCAGUGUGGUGGGGCAUCUCUCAUAGCUGGGGGGGUGCAGCUGUGAGCCCAGGACAUACCAAGAUCCAUUAGGUAGCAUCGGGAUUUUAUGACAUUACCCACUACAGUUCAGAAACUGGUGCCUAUUUAACAAUUGCCUUCUUUUCCUCAGGAAGUGGUACUGCUAACCUUUCCAUGGAGGGCAGGGAGCAGCAGAGCUCAGCAGCUGUAGUUCACAGCCAGCUAAUGGCACCCUCAUGCCAAGAAGCUGUUGCCUUAUUUCCAUACCUCUGCCACUGCCAGUGCACGGUCUGUAUACAUGCAGACCUGCUCCGGGUGUACAGCAAGCACUGCAGAACUACAUCUGAAAAAUCUCAUUCCUCUGCCUGGUAGCCACAAUACUAAGGUACUAAAGGUGACACGUGUCCCUGGGUGUUGUCUACAUGUCCCCCCCCGGCCCUCUUCAUCUUACCUCUAGGAUGUUUCUUACACAGUAGGCUGAAUAUGUCCAUUUUCCUCACAGUCUCUCUUUCCUGAAUCAAAAAAGAAGAUAUUCAACAUUCCAAGUCACAAAGAAACAAGUCUGGAUGCCCAAACAUUUAAGUAUUAACACAUGCAGACACUAAAAGCUUCUUCGUAACUACUCCUCUCCAGAAGGUGAAGGAUGGAAGAGAGGUUGUGGACCAGGACUUACCUUAAAAGCAGCUAAACAUCUCACCCCAAGGGCACUGCAGCUCCGCAGCCUCUUCCCAGCAUUGCUCUGACAUCAGUCCACAAGUCCUAGAGCUCUUCGUAGAUACAGCACUUAUUGCCUCAGUGCUGCAGACAAGGGGUUUAGGCCACUCAGCAAAUGAAGAUGUCAGAACACGCUUAAUUUAAAAGCUAAAUAUAGUAUCAGGGUGAUGCUUGCCAGUGUUCCUUUAAUAAAAGGAUAUAUUAUUUGCCUAAGGAUUUAUAACUUUCAAACGAGAGUUUAAUACCUGAUGAUCUCUCUUCAAGCACUUAUGCUUUCCAAUCCUACAAGUGACAUUUUAACCAAUGUGAAACCCCAAAGCCUAUAUUAGCUUGAAUUAAACUGAGGAAUGUUGAAUAUCCGUGCUUCAGUUCAGGUACCCAAGGCACAAAAGCCAGAGGUGUGGGCCCCCCAGCAUCCCUGUGGAGUCAGCAGUGCUCAGUAACUGAGCUAUGAAAAAGAAGACAUAUAUAAUAUAUUCCCGUGACUUCCUGAAAGACACAGCAAGCACACAAGCACUACAAAGCAGGCUGUAAUUCAUCUGAUCAAAGUAAGAGUGUCACGGGCUCAGCCAUGGCAAACUAGGGCUCUUCCACCUCCCUGUGACAACUGCCUUCAGUGGUUCCACAUGGUCCACCAGAAAGCAAAGGCCAUGCAAGAUGAACAUAACCCCUGUUCUCCCUUUGACGCUUAAUCUUCACUUUAGCAAUCAUUACCUUUCCUUUGCCCACAAAUGCAGGUAGCAUUCAAGGCUAGUUUUUGUGGCCUCAGGGUCACUACAGUCAGCAGACCUAAACUUCAGUCAGACAACUCCAACUUAAAUAACCAAAACACCAACAGCACAGAAAAAAAUGACCAAACUGCUAGCUUGGACCCAAAAUGAAGUCACCACAGCACCGACAGAAUAAUGUAUGUUGAUACAACUUACAGAGAAGGGCCCAUGGCUCUGGAAGGCUGCUCCACUUCUUAACCAAGAGGCUGCUUCUUGCAGGUGGGAGGCGACCCAACACCCAGACAGAUCCCUUUUCUGGAACAACUGGAUAUGUCUCUUCUGAAACCACCCAACACCAAUCCUUUCUAUGUAAUGAAAAAGUUACACAGCUCUGGAGCACAGAGAACAGUCAGCGAAUAUGAAACUUUGCACUGCUUCUCAAUUGAAAAGGAAGUUGGAGAAUUUUUUUUUUUUUAAAAGCUCUCUAGUAUGUCAGGAAAAAAGGAAGAAAAAAGAAUCAGCCUUUUGCAUGUGAUUCAUGUCUAAAAACACCCACACAGCUCAUCACAUUGACCUCAAAAGACAGAAAUGCUGCAGCAAGCCACUUCCAGAGGGAAUUCAUGGGCACUAAACCACAGCGAACAAAGAGCUGAUGAAUUACCAGCUCUUCAGAGCUGAUCUGCGGAGCAAAUAUUAAUACAAUUAGUGUUAAUCCCUGAGUCUCAUAGUUUGUAAGUUAUACAUAAUUUUAUGAAGGAUGGAAACUUAUUACUGGCUUCAGCUGAUCUAGACUGGGAAACGAAAAAAAAUGGAAAAAAAAAUGGAUGAAUCAAGAAAACAUUUUUUUCUCUCUCGCUCUGUUAGUAAGCAGCAACUGGGCAUGGCCAGAAUGGCAGAGGUAAUGCUCAGUGGGGCUCUCAUCAGGCUGUUCCAGAAAUACUGAUCUGCUGGCUCUCAAAACAUGCGAUUUGCCUAUGACUGCCUGCUGUGCUGUCUCAAUCUAUCAUGCAUCAAGCAGAUCUAGACUUACUGAGCCGGGAAGGUCCAAAGGGUCUGUCGUUGCCCUGUGUUCAUGCUCUGGGUGCUGCUGCAGAGCUUCAGGCACCCCAGCUGCAGGUCAGCCCAGCUCAAGCAGAAAACAGCUCACAGCUCCCUGGAAGCAAAGAGUUUGUUAGGUCUGACAGAGCAAUAGCAUCCAGUCUGAUCUCCACAAUCCCAGUGAAUAAAAGAACUCUUAUUUCUUCAUCCCAAUUAGAAGAGUAAAGAAGAAAUCUACUGCUCAGAUACCCACAGAUACAUCUGCAAAAUUAAUAAUGAAGUUAUUACCUGUGAUUUAGAGAGUGAUGACACCCCAGAAAUCUUUAACUUCCCACUGCUUUGGGUAUGCUCCAGACAGUUUCUGACUUCUCCAUCAAUCUCCAGACUCCCUGUAAGGAAGGCCCAUGGGUCAGCUACCACUAAGUGAAGAACCACAGGCAUUGGUUUACUUCCAGACUGCUCCUGGAGGCUUUACGUGAUGGCUGUAGUGAAAGGGAAGUCAAAGCUGCAGGUUUCCACCUCUGGUCUGCAGCACCUCAGGGAAAAUACAUACUCCUUGUAAGCUGUCAAGACAAGGAAGAACAGCAGGGAUGGAGACCUUCUGCCUGGAAUAUUUUCUUCAAGAGAGCUGCAGUGAGCUGUAGAAGAUAGUGCAGAGAUUAUAGAAGUACGUCUCCAGGAUUAUUUGCCUCUGCAGUAGAAGUGCAGGUCUGUGCCUGGUGACUUUCAUGUAGCUUUAGAUAGGGGUUCUUGGAAGAUUUCAAUUUCAGAUUAAAGAUUUGUGAACUUCA